rnacentral:rRNA from 1 species
UUUCUUUGCUGGCGACCGGCGCACGGGUGAGUAACACGUACCCAACCUGCCCUUUACUCGGGGAUAGCCUUUCGAAAGAAAGAUUAAUACCCGAUAGCAUAAUGAUUCCGCAUGGUUUCAUUAUUAAAGGAUUCCGGUAAAGGAUGGGGAUGCGUUCCAUUAGGUUGUUGGUGAGGUAACGGCUCACCAAGCCUUCGAUGGAUAGGGGUUCUGAGAGGAAGGUCCCCCACAUUGGAACUGAGACACGGUCCAA